UGUAGGGGAUGUGUUUACCGCUUUUCUUUCGUAUGCUCAUUAACCCGUGCUCUUAUGCUUGUUGCAACAAACCUCCUUUGCACUUAAUAAUGGGACUAUACUAUACGGUUAGCACAAACACAUUAGAUUGCAGCAAAUUAACAGGUGGAGUGAAGGUGCAGUUAUUACACCACAAGGGUACAAAAACACCUUGUAGCGCUGUUGUCAAACGAUGGGAUAACAUUACAAAACAUUAAUUCCCUUGUUAAAACAAAAGAAGAACUAGCAAAAUGGAAACAGUAGAUAUUGAGGCCCUGAGCUAAUUUUAUUUGCAUUUAAAUGCACAACUUUUUGACAGAUGUGAGCAACACAAACACCUACUGAUGGCAAACAGACAUUCUGAUGCGCUAACUUUGCCAGUCCGGAACCUCGCUUCAUUCAACUUUUCACCAUUUAAAAAAAUGGUGCAUGUUUGUCUUACUUAAAUGUUUCAGAUGACCAAAAAAAUUGAAAUAUUAGUCAAUGAAAACACAACUGAACACAAAAUACAGUUUUUAAAUUAAACUUUUAAUUUCAUGGCACAUGGCACCUUCCGUGGAAUAGUGGUGAACCUACAUCCAUCCAUCCAUCCAUCCAUCCAUCCAUCCAUCCGUCUUCUUCCGCUUAUCUGAGGUCGGGUCGCGGGGCCAGCAGCUUAAGCAGGGAGGCCCAGACUUCCCUCUCUCACUUGCCUCACCUGCCUUGGUUAAUGUCAGUGUUCAUGACUCCACCAUAAGAAAGACACUGGACAAAAACGGCCUGCAUGGCAGAGUUCCAAGACGAAAACCACUGCUGAACAAAAAGAACAUUAAAGCUUGUCCCAAUUUUGCCAAAAAACAUCUUGAUGAUCCCCAAGACCUUUGGGAAAAUACUCUGUGGUCUGACGAAACAAAAGCUGAACUUCUUGUAAGGUGUGUGUCCCAUUACAUCUGCCGUAAAAGUAACGCCGCAUUUCAGAAAAAGAACAUCAUACCAACAGUAAAAUAUGGUGGAGGUAGUGCAAACAUGCAAAAAAAAAAAUCAGGAAGGGGGCACUGUAUAUGGUUUGAUUAAAGUGUGUUUUUCCACCAAUUGGUUUGCAACAGUUUCAUUUCAUCAAAGCAACAAAUUGUGGAAUGGAACAAUAACAGAGCCUGAAAUCUUUGGAUUUCACCGUAUCGGCCAGGGCAACUGUAGUGAAAUCAAGUACCUCACGUUUUCACUGUUACCCUUUGAGAAAUGUGAACUUCUCAAACCCAUUUUGACAAUUCAGUUGAGUUAAGACAUAUUGGCGGGCUGACUUUGAUGGCCCGGGAACCAGGCACUAUCCAUAUAGUGUGAUGAAAGUGGGCUUCUCCACAAUUAAGCUAGCAACUGUUUUGCUCAAUCAAAACAACAAAUAGAGGAAAAGUUUGGCAAAACAACUUAAGGCUCAGAGCUCAACUCUCUAAACACUCAUGGAAUGCAGACAUACAGUAUUGACUUGGAUUUAGCGCUACUAACAAUUAAAUGGCUUUAAAAUGGUGCUCUGAAAAAUGCCCAAGAAAGUGGCACCACCCCCCUCCCAUUAUCUAUGCAGCCUGCAUCCUCUCUAAAUAGUUGUGCAUGACCUUUGCUACAGUAGCUCUAAUUAUUAGCACCACAUAGGCCCCUGUAAGGCACACAGCUAAUUAGAGUGGAUUUAUCUGAGGGGACGUUGCUGCCAUUCAUAGGCAUGACUGCACGGGCUACCAUCAGUGCAGGUGAUUUAAAUUUGGGGAUAAGGUUAAUCUGCGUAACAUGGUAAUGGUAAUUAGAAUACUAAUCAUGGCAAACAUGGUUUUGAUAACAGCACAGGGCAGAUCAGUCACUGGUGGCUUCCUUGUUAACGAGCCGCCAUUGCCGCUAUUGUUUUUUUAUAACUGAUGUUUGACUGCGCUCGUUGAGAGCUACAUCGUUUUAAAAAAAAAGGCAUUGCCCUUUAAUAUAGGACCUCUUGUCAUUGCAUCUCAUAAAGGGUUGUUACUGGAGAAAGCAGUAUUUUUCAAAGCUUCAAGAUGAAUGAAGAGGGGCAUCUGGAGCUAUCUUUUGGCUGGCGGACAACUCGUGUAAUGAGCCUAAGAGGGUUCCAAUUAUUCCACUUGUGAUCAAAAAGGAGAUGGAGAUUACUUCUCUUGCGUCUUUUUUCCUUCCCUCUCUAGCUCUCCCUCGCUGACAUUUUGCACAGUAACAUCUUUUGAUAGGGGCUCGGGGAGAGAAAGAUGAUUACUAGAGAGUGUCUGAUAGUCUUGAAUAGUCAGUGCUGGCCUCCCUGUUAAGACAAAAUAAGAGUUUUUCUGAGCCACAGUCUCUUUUGUGGUUUCCUGUAGGGGCUGGCCAUUGAAGAAAUGUCAUAGAUCAAUGAGCGCAAGAAUGAACAAUCAAUCAUCUAAUGUAUUAGGCUCUAAGCUAAUUGCAUUUGCACAAGCAUUGAAAUGCCGACUGAAACAACUUCAAGGAACUCAUGCUUCAUGUUACUUUUGGAGAAAUAUUGGCAUGCCGACAUACGAUGCAGCAAUGGUUGUGCUAACUUUACCAGCUUGGGGAACCUUGCUCCAUUUGCGAUUAUGUCAUUUUGACUUCAUAUGUUGUGAUGAGUGUGCGCUUUUCCACACUUAAGUGUGCAACUUGAAAAUCAUAACAUUUAAAAUAUGAAAGCGUGGUUUUCCUCAUAUUUUGAGUUUAGCUAGCACUUGAACAUGAAUUGGCCUUUAGUAUCAAAAUGGAAAGGCAACCAAUGCACAACUUUUUCAAAUAUAUGAGCAUUUCAAACAUGUAAAGACACCAGCUGUGAAGAUUCAUGAGUUGGCGGCAUGCACAAACCAACAUGCUAACUUUGCAAGUCACGAGCCUAGCUCCAUUAGCGUUUAAAUUUAGAUUUUAUGUUUGAUGAACGUGAGUAGUCAGCAAUGUAACGUUAAUUGCCUUGUUUAAUCAAAACAACUACUAGUGGAACGGAAUGGCAACAACCCUUGGACCUCAGAGUUAAACCCAUCUGCAUUCAAAUGCAUAGGCCAACUGUAAGAAAUUCUCCCCUCUACAUGUAAAAAAACCCAAAAAAACCACCAUUUAUAGGAUGCAGACAUAUUGACACACUAACUAUUGCCACAGGAAUCUCACUGUAGUCAUUUCCACCAGCCUGUGUUGUAGAUAUUGCAAUAUUCAAGCAAAGCAAGGCAAGUUUAUUUAGAGUGCACAAUUCAUACACAAGGUAAUUUAAAGUGCUUUACAGAAAGGUAAGAAAGAAGGGUAAAAUGACUUCAUAAAAUCAUUCCAUAUAAACGUAAAAUCACUUUAAAAUCAUUUCAAUUCCAUGAAUCAUUCCAUAAAACCAAAACAUUAAUAAUAAUGAAGAGUGCAGAUAAAAUAAUUUGAGUUGUCAAAUGCACAGCUGAAUAGAAGUGUUUUCAGCCUGGAUUUGAGUAUCGUCGCACAUCUUCUGGAAGACUGUUUCAGAUUUUGGAAGCAUAAAACUGAAACGCAGCCUCACCGUGUUUAGUGCUGACUCUGGGCACCCGCAGGAGAUUUUACAGCAAAUAUAUGCUAUUUUUAGUCCAAAAUGGUCACACACUAAGCUGAAUUCGUAACCUACCUCCUGGAUGUGGAUUAUUUGCAGCCUCUGGAGACUUUUGAUGCAUCGUUAAAGCCAUUAGGCCCAAGUAUAGGAAGCCACUGCACAACAUUAGCACAUUGACAUGUUAGAUUAAAGACUACAUAAACGACACAAAUUGCCACGAUUCUACUUUUUUGUUUGAGAUAAACAAUGCUUCUUAGACUCCACGAGCAGCUCUGAUAGUCGAGGCCUGCAAUAUUUUUCUACAGAGCCAUCAGGAGGAAGGCAUGUUGUGUUUGUUGUGUGGGCUGCAGCUGUUUCUCCUCCGCCUAAUAGUGACAGUCAUGUCUCCCCCGCCAGCCCCCACUUGCAAUACAAAAGGGAGUUGAAGCAUUCGAUUGUGUACAGCUUGUUUCCUCCCCAUUUCAUUUAUUAAAUUCACAGAUUACAAGUAAAAGUACAUUAGAAGCCCUGGGGUGACUAAAGAGAUUUCUCCACCAUCGAAUAUCAAACUAUAUCUAGGCCUGGGAGAAAUGGAAUGAUGAAAAACAAAAGAUAAUAUUAUGUACUAUGGCACUGGGACAAAAUACAACUCCUUCCAAUCAGCCAAGAUAAACAUCCAGCCCAGAGAUAUGUUCUUACUAGAUAACGGCUUAGCACACACGCUGACAUACAAACAUGAGCGCAUGGACCGGCGGUUUUGAUAAGCACAGAAAAUUACUACAUGAUGUUUAUGGUGGCGGAACAAAAGGAUUAAAAAGGACUUCAUUUUAAGGAAUCAAAGCUGUAGAAAGGUGUGUGCCGGGUGUAAGAUGCAUUUCAAUUGACUAGAUUAGACUUCAUAAUGGAGACGUAAUUACAGGGAAACACGAUAUGUACACAGCAAAUUGAGGAGUGUUAAUUUUUUGGUGUUGAUGAGAAUCUUGAAGUUGGAGUGUCAAUCUUACACUAUUUGGAGUUGAUCUAACACUGCAUUUUCUUAAAAAUGUUCAAUUUAACACUGGAUCAUGAAAGUGUUGUAGUUCAAAUGGAGUGUUGAAAAUGUUCAAAUCUUGUUAGUGUCACAAUAAAGACAUUCAACACUUCCACACUCCAUUUAACACCUAACAGUGUUCACGUGUCUUAAGCUCCGCCCACGGACAUUUCAUUUAGACUCCACCCCUCACUUCACUUGCUGAUGGAAGAAGUUGAUAAUUAGGAAUCAUUUUGCAUCAGUAGGUAAGUAAACGUUUAAAUAGAUGAACUAAUGAAUUGUGUUGUACCUUGUUUACACAUAAAAAACGUUAGUUUUUGGUGUGAUAUUUAAUACUAAUAAACUGAGGCAGCUGUUUCCACCCAAAGCCUUUGCUAAUGUUAGCUCGUGUUUUUGCUAAGUUAUAUUUUCUAUUUAGUGUUGCUGUGAGCUGAAUCGGCACUGCCUGUGCAACAUUUGGCAAAGUAAGUGAACGCUACGUUAUAUCUUCAUUUUUAAUGAGCUAAUGGCUAACUAGCUAAUUGGCAGGAGGAGCCCCCACAAGUAGGCCUGCUGGCCCCCAGCAAAGGACUUGAUAUGCUGUACAAGAUACAAGAUAUCAAGGUUGGCAACUCUAAUUGUUACUUUAACUUAAAAAUAAUUGUCAGGCAUGUGUUGGAAGUGAACUACACAAUUUUUUUUUUAGAAUGAUGCAUCUUUAUUUUUCUUCUUGAUUCACAGAAAACCUUUCCUUGAGUCUUACGUGAAUGUGGUAAGUAAUAUCUUUUUUUUUUAAUCAAUGCAUAAUAAGCCCUGCAACUGUGGCAAUUCCAUAUUUAUUUAAUUAUUUUAGUAGGAUGUUUUAUAUUAUUAUUAUUAUUAUUAUAUUUAUUCUUAUUCUCAGAGGUGGAUGGAGAUGUGUAGACUCCACUAUCCCUUCACCCCAGUUAUUGCCAGUUGGUGCGAGCCUCCACUCUUGCCGACUACAUCCCAUUCAUUAGGUUCUACAAUUUAUCCUUCAGCCCACAAGAGGAACCCAACAGAACCAAUGGAUCAGGAUGAAGCAUGACGGAAAGUCGGUGGUGUUUUGAGGGCCAAUCUGAAAGGUGAGGAAAUCUUCAAGGAGUGCAACAAGACUGAAACACUAACCGAUGCAAGGUGUAAACAGAUGGUGAACAUCCUGGCUGCAGAUAUGAUGGAGCUGCAUGGGAGGGUUCCGCCAUCAUGUGUGAUGAGAAAUUACGCCCUGAGAAUUGUGACUUGUUUUCCAUACCUAAAAGAUCCAUUCUCCAAACCUGGAUAUGCAAGUGUCUUUUCAAUGUAAAACCUAAAGUACUGUUUUUGUUUUUCCUUUAGGUGUGUAGUUUGUAUUAAACUCUUGUUUCAAAUAUGUUCAUAGGAUGCUUAGCUUAGCGGCAGUGGCUCAAGAGGUAGAGCAGGUCGUCCAGAAAUCGUAAGGUUGGUUGAUCCUUGCUCCCUCCACCCAGUCACUGUUUUGUCCUACACUUCUCCUGGCUCUCAAAGCCGUUCCAAGACUGUUUCUUCAUGAUGGUCCAAAAACCAGAGGAGAACAUCUGUUAACUGGUCAACAGCUGCUUGGUGAGGAGUGCAAGGAGGCGCUAUCUACAGUAAGACAUUCAAAUGAUGAAUCCGUGGUCGAAGAAGAUGAGAGCAACUUUCCAGUAUCGACAGAAUAUGAUCCAAGCACAAGAUGUAUCAUCGUCUGUUCUCAAUGUGUUCCCUCACUUCCUUGAUGUUCCUGGAUUGGUAAGGAAAUCUUGAGUAUUUGGACUAGUUCCGUAUUAGAUUACCCAUUACAUCAACCAUUUGUAAACCUGUAGGCCUACAGUAUAUGAAAUAUUCAUGUCUUGUUUAUAGAUUGACCAGGAUUUCUCAAUGAUGUUUGGUGAUGAAGUAUCUCAGAGGUUCCUGGCUAAGUGGUCAACUGUCUUCAAACCAAAAGUCAUUGCAGACUUUAAGACUCUCCCGCAAAAGCAGAACAUCGAUGAGUUGCUGUCAGGAACUGAACCUCAACCUGAUGACAUAUGUACUGGAUGUAGCUUUGAUCUACCUGUGUUCAAGAAGAUCUGUGAUAUAAUAAAACACAAAGAAUGUGCUUUCAUAAUAGCCUGUAAUGUAAAAAAACUAUGUACUAUGAGGACCUGUUUAACGCGUACUGCAUAGAAGACCAAAUGCUUGAGUUUUCUGUCAUGUGUUUAAAUGAACUGACUCAUUUCAGACCAUUUGACAAGCAGUACUCUAAUGACAAUUGUCAAAAAGCAAACAUACUGUAGUGCCCUGCUGUUAUUUAAGCUGUCUGUUGGAAAUGAAAUGUUUUGGAAUAAAAUGUAUGAAGCAGUCAACUAGUCAUUUUUAAAAAAUGUUUAAAUUUUAUUUUGAAGUAGUAGAUUAACACCUUUAUAGUGUUAAUGUUGCAACUCCUUUUGAGAGUAAAAUGACACUAUAAGAGUCAAUAAAUGACUCUUAAGAGAAUUAAUUUGUGACACCUCACACUAGUGUUAAAAAAAUGCAACACCGGUUGGUGUCAAGGAGUGUUAAAUUUUAACUAUAUAAAUAGUUAAUAUUGACUCUACAAUGGUGUAAAAAUGGCUACACUUUCAAAAGUGUUAAAAUAACACUUUGUAGAGUGGACCCCAUGGGACACUUUGAAAGUGUUGAGAUUAACUCCUACAGUGUCAAUUUAGGCCUGCUGAAUUUGCUGUGUACAGUAUUUGCGUGUAUGAGGCUUAGGAAUACAGCACCUCGGCUUCCUGUGGAUGCACAGCAGGGGUAGGGAUGCAAUGUGUGUCGCUGUUUUUCGUGACCCCUAAAAGUCUGCCCAAACACAAAUUCAGUUAAAUGAAAUCCGUUCAGCUAAUCCCCCAUCACGCCCACUUCCAGUGAGUGGGUCAAGCCCACUUCAUCUGGCCUCUCUCUCUCUCUGGCAUGCUGCUAGGUUCCCAGUCCCCAAUGGAGACAACAGAGGGCCCUGCUCCAGUUUUUACUCCCACUGUGUGGUUGUGUAUGUCAACACUUGUUUCACUGCAGAUGGCUUAUUCCCCACCUUAUUCUCCCCCCUGCUUUACGCUUUGGUAAUGGAUUAUAAACCGUCACACAGCACUGGAUGUUAUUCCGAUGUGAGAGCACCCGAUCUUGUUAAGAAGCUGGAUUUACAGAUGUGCACGCAGCUAAUACUUUUCUGACAGCUGCCUAGUAACAAAUCAUCCCCUCAUAGAUGACCACCAGAUGUACAUCUCAUAGCAGCAAAAAAGAUCACAAAUCAUCUCUACCUGCUUGUCGGGGUCGCUCAUGGGCGUGGCUUUGCUGGGGUACUAUCUAAAACGUCCAUCUGUUUAAUAAAACCCUGCUUUGAUACAGCAGUUGGCACCAUUGCUCAUGAUUUCCUAGAGACUUAGCUUCCUUGCAAAGAAAGCUAUGCAAGUGUGAUUUUCUACUAUUUGGUGUUUCAUUUACCGUAAUUUCCAGUGUAUAAACCACUACUUUUUUUCUUAAACUUUAAUCCUGCAUCUUAUACAGCGAUGUAGCGAAUUUAUAAUUUGUUUUCUUCUGUACUUGAGAACCACCACUAAGCAUUUAAAUUCAAUGCUGCUCACGAGCCAAGCAAACAAACGGUAGCUCUUUCUUUAGCAGAAGCCAAUCACAAGUUGCAUUGUAAUUCCCAGCAACCUUGUCAACCUGUUGGAAAUCGCAGAAGGUUAUUACUCAAUAUAACAGUCUGACUGGUGGUGUUAAUUUACAAAGGAAGCUAAAAUAAUCACACAGCAACCAAAUUCAAAAAAACAUAUUAUAACAUAAAUAUAGCAUAAUAACAUUCAAAUAACAAUGCAUUAUUAAAUUAAAAUAACAAAGAAAAGCAAUUCUAACUUCUACCCACAAUGCAUCACUGCAAGCAGAGAUGUCCAUUGGCCAAAGGUUGCCUGCUGUCGGGCGCCAGACCACCUUGGGCCAAAGAACGACUCCCGCUUGCAGUGAUGCAUUGUGUGUAGAAGUUGAAAUAGCUUUUGCUCGUUAUUUUUACUCAAUAAUUGGUUAUUUUAAUGUUAUUAUGUUAGGCUAUGUUCACACUGCAGGUUAAUUCCGAUUUUUUUGCUCAUAUGUGACCUGUAUCUGAUUUUUCAUGUCAUUGUGAACAGCACAAUUCCAAUUUUUUUCAAAUGCCACUCAGGCCUUGUUCGUAUGUGGAUAUAAAUUUGAUAUGUAUGAGAUGCGACUGCAGUAUGAACGGUCGGUCGCAUAUAUCGACAAGGACCUCGCACACUGCCGUAAUCUUUACUUUUGUAAGCACGCAGAAAUGUGUGUGAUGUCGUGCUUUUGUGCAUGCACGUCACUUACCGGACGCUUUGCGUUGACAUGGACAAGUCGCAUUUUUUUCCUGUGAUUUACAAUGGGUUGACAUGCUCGUUAUGAGUUUCCACAAAGUUCAUAAAUUGACGCCUGUCAGAUAAAGAACAACUGAACCUGGUCCUCAUGCACUCCUGCCCACUAUAGUUUAAGACCUGCAGAUGUACAACUUAUAGUCCAGUGCGUCUUAUACACGAACAAAUCUGAUUUUCUCUCUAAAUUUGGUGGGUGCGUCUUAUACACCGGAAAUUACGGUAAUCAAAAGAACAAACGGUAGAAUGGAAUGCUAACAGAGCUCGAGGCUCCAAGCUAAACCUCUUUUCAUUCCAAUGCACAAGCCAACUGCUGUGAAUUACCUCGCGUGUUACUUUUUGACGAGCAUUUCAAACCCUCUUUGAAGAUUCUAAAGUUGAGACAGACGCAUCGACGCUCUAACUUUGGCAGCCAGGGGAACCGAGCUCCAUUCACAUAGUGUGAUGAAACACAGGGUAGAUAGCAAAUCAACAUGAAUUGCUUUGUUUAAUUCAUCAUUGCGGAGCGGAAUGGCAACAAAGUUAAGGGCCAGACCUAAACUUCUUAGAAACCUCUAAAAAAUGCAGAUUCAAAAGCAGAAGGGAUGUAGACAUACUGACGCCUUAACUAUUCACUUUCUGCCAGCCUGCAAUAUUUACUACAGGUAUACACCAUUUUUAGUCCGAAAUUAUCCCACACUAACCGUUAUUUGUUAAUUUACUCAUGGGUUUGGGUUAUUUGCAGAAGGAGAUAAUUCAUCUACUAUGAUACAGAGGUUGGCACUCGCAUUUUGAGCUUUGAUUUUGUUUUUUUUUUUAGACAUUAGCUGUGUUUUAGCAGCUGCCAUGCAACAAAAUUGCACAUGCACCUGCAUAGAUGCCCUUUAAAAGGACCCUCCAUGUAGUGUAAACAUCGUUUGUUUGCGCGUGUGGCCCGGGGUGGUGGGAUUAAUGAACGCUGAUGAAGUUCCACUCACAUCCCAGUUGCUGCCAUCUUUAUUUGCCGGAGGCUGUGACUCAUUCCCUAUACCCAGUGUCAGAUUAAGGCAUGUCAAUAAAGAGACCCACUCAAUCCAUCUCCCAGCAACUCUCCCCUCGUGUGUGCCUCCGUGGUCUGUAAUGAGCUGCUGAAUAUCUACAUGCCGCUAAAGUGUCUGAGAAGAUGCCUUGCCACUGUGAGCGAGGACAGGGGGUUCAGAGACAGAGAGAGAUGGGCACCCGCCGUUACACUAAAUGACAUUUGUGGCGACCCGUUUGGGUUGUGGUCAAAAUGCUUUGGAAGACAGGCUUGCAUACAUGUAAUACAGAUAUCCUCAAAGUUUUAUUAUCAUUAGACAAAUGCUCAAUCACUUGAGGACAAUUAGUGGCUAAUUGCCCCUGCAAAGACGUUUUGCUUGAUGGCAGUUCUUCAACCAAUCUUGCUCAAAUUUUACACAAAUGUACUUGUCAAACAAGGUGUGUAAGACAUUUAGUGGUGAUUUGGCUCAACACCCUAAAGUGAGAGUGGGUCUUUUGUAGUCCAGCGCAUUGAGCUGUGUGAGAAAUUUCAAGUCAAUCCCACUCCCGCUGGUUUAGUAAUAGUAUUUUGCACAUAGGGAUUUUUCCACCUUUUUCCAGGUCCCAAAUCUAUGUUAACAGCACUGACACAGAAUGAGGAGCCAUAACAGAGGCGGGAAGGUGUCUGUGUGCAAGGGGUAUGGUGUUUUAUACCCAGACACUAACUUUAACCACUCUGUUGUGUUUAAAGCAGUUGUCGCAUCGGAUAAUCUAAUUGCAGGAUGCAUUGUUGCUGUGUGAAAGUGUACACAAAUCAUUGGCAAUAUCCCCCUUCAGUGGAUUCUGUGUGAAAGGCAAUGGUGGAUAAAUGCCGGCUUGUCCGUGACAGCUGUGAUGUGGCUAUUCAGUCAUGGUAAUGGUAAUGGUUUAAUUGACACGUUUGCACUUGCACAACUCAGUAUGUCUGAAAAGGAGUAGGAAGAAGCACAGCUUAGUUAAUCCUACCCCUUCCCCAUUUUGCAGGCUGUCCUUGUAAAAGAGGCUUCUAAUUGGAGUCAUGUUUCAAAAUAAGUAAAAGUUGUGGUGUUUACUCAGUGGCCACAUGUUUACAUAAUAUAGUCCUUCUGAAUGUGUGUUUGUAA